UCACACCUGUAAUCCCAGCACUUUGGAAGGCUGAGCUGGGAGGAUUGCUUGAGGCUGGCAGUUCAAGACUUCUUCCAUUUUAAGGGGCCUUGUGAUUACAGCUGGUCCAUCUGGAUAUUCUAAGAUAUUCUCCCUAUUUUAAGGAAGAUGAAUAAGAAGAGGGAGCCUCUUCCAGGAAGAUAAAUGCCGAAAAAGCUACCUUUUCUCCAUCUGGGGACGGAUGAUACCAAAAUGAUGCCCCCUUCCAGGCUGAUAAGGAGAGAAAUCUGAAAUCUGAGGUGCAGUUGAUUUGAAUCCAGGAAAUCUAAGGAAAAAGUUCAAGCUCUUAAUCAUUUCAUACCCUUCUUGUUGCUAACUUAAACUUUUUUUUUAAAAAAGUUAAUCUUGUCUAUGAAGCAUGAAUCUAUAAUACUAGGGAAAAAACUGGCUAACUUGAAGAAAAAAUAAAUUGAAAUGAAAAGCAA
rnacentral:lncRNA from 10 species